CGAGCCCGAGCCUUUCCCCGACGCCGAUUUCCUCUCAGCCUUUCUUCUUGCCCUAACCGCUGGCGGCGGUUUCUUCCUCGCCGAAGUUUUAAAACUCUCGGCCAAGCUCGCUUCCUUCUUCCUCUCCUCUGCCUCCCGUUUCCUUUCUCUCCUUCUCCAUAGCAGCGACGCCGACUCCAAAGCAUUAGCGCCGACCACCGCGAGCCCUAGCCUCGCCGAUCUCCUCACGCGAGCCACCACCACCGUUCCUCCCCGCUGCACACCACGAGCCCGACUCCUCUGUGCCCUUCUUCCUCUCUGUCGCGUCUCGGCACAGCGCCGACGCUGACCGUCUCGCCGGUGUGUCUUUGCUUAGGAUUGGGUCCGGACAGGAGUAAACAGAGCCGACCAUCGCUGGAGAUUGCUUGCUUCCGUGCCCUAGCCUUGGUCCACUGCUACCUCUGUACAGGUUAGUUUGGACAGGAGCAACAGUGUCGAGUCCUGUUUGUGUUUGCUCGACAGUGUCGAAGAUGACACAGAGUUGUGCCCUAGUCAGAUCUUGGAGUGAAGAAUUCCAGCAACUCUUGGAUUUCAGUAUAAACCAGUGGCUUUGAAUCAAGGACUUUGACGCGAGAUGAGUAUCUCGGAGUCAGAUUGGACCUUUCUAUUUUCGGAGG